UACGUAGGUGGCAAGCGUUGUCCGGAUUUACUGGGCGUAAAGAGCGCGCAGGCGGUCGUCCAAGUCGCGUGUGAAAGCCCCCGGCUCAACUGGGGAGGGUCACGCGAUACUGGUCGACUCGAAGGCAGGAGAGGGUAGUGGAAUUCCCGGCGUAGUGGUGAAAUGCGUAGAUAUCGGGAGGAACACCAGUGGCGAAGGCGACUACCUGGCCUGUUCUUGACGCUGAGGCGCGAAAGCUAGGGGAGCAAACGGG
rnacentral:rRNA from 1 species